rnacentral:lncRNA from 1 species
UAAUGUCCCAGUGGCUAUCUUUUAAACAUUAUUUCCUGUUUUACCAACAUGCUUCAAUGAAUGAGUUGUUACGAACAAUGUGUUCUGCCCUUUUAGUUAGUAUUACUCCUAUUAGACUAAUAAGUUCGAAUUUCGUUAUAGUGUGCAAAAUUCGCUAUGCUAUGAUCUUAUGUAAUCAAAAUUGGUUUUUGUAAUAAGAGUUAACAUCUAUUUUUAGCAUCAGGAUAUAAUCAAUUAUAUUUUUAAUCUCUGUUUUCUUUCAAAAGUAUGCUCAAAAUACCCCAACGACUUAAUCACGCAUCCCCUUAAUACUUGUUGUACAAAUUACGUCUUAAAGUUUCCUUAUCAACCUUAUCUAAAUGAAUCUAAGAGUAAGAGUAUGUUUGGCUUUGAACUCGUUUUGUUAAGAUUUCAUAGUUUGUGUCAAGCAAGAUUUAUUCACCAAGUUGACAAACCAUGGUCUACGUUCUAGCAUACAUACUUUCUUUUGAUAUUUGUUGCUUUUGAAAUCCUAACCUAUCUUGAAAUUUGUCUAUAAGGUUAACUUUAGAAACUUUUUUAAAUCUUUUCCUUUCUCUGUUGUGACUAAAAGAAUCCUCUGUUAAAGCAUAAUGUUUUGCAUCUGAUGUAGCCGAACUUAGUCUAUCAAUUGAUAGUCUCAUUAAUCUAUCUGUCAAUAGUCUAAGAUAUUUGUCGUUUUGGC